GAAGUCGUUACUCCAACCCUUGUGGAGGAGGACGCCGAAGGUGGGGCUAAUGACUGGGGUGAAGUCGUAACAAGGUAGCCGUACCGGAAGGUGCGGCUGGAUCACCUCCUAACAGGGAGACAACAAAAUGUAAAUAUUAAUUUUGUCACCUUAGGUCGAUCGGUAUCUCAGAUUCUUAUUAUUUAAGAAUUUCAGUUUCUAAGUUUCUUCUAGGUCACACCCAUCACUUUUUCCUGGGCCAUUAGCUCAGGUGGUUAGAGCGCACCCCUGAUAAGGGUGAGGUCCCUGGUUCAAGUCCAGGAUGGCCCAUAUCUCUAUGUUGGGGGUAUAGCUCAGUUGGUAGAGCGCCUGCUUUGCAAGCAGGAUGUCAGCGGCUCGAGUCCGCUUACCUCCACUGAAUACCACCUCUUACAUAUAGUUGAAGUGGGAAAUUGUUUUGAGUCGUGUCCUAAUUUGCUCUGAGCGAAUCUAGCUUCCUAUUUUAUCCAAGAAAUAAGAUGCUGGACUCAUUGAAUUUUUUUCAUUGUUUUCAGAGAACCUUGACAACUGCAUAGAUUAUUUUUAAAGACAAUAAGCAUCUUUAAUGAUGCAGAUUUAUUAUUUGUGCGAAUGCAUUAAAUAACAAUUCUAUUAAGCUGAUGCUUCAAUUAUUGAAGUUAUUGGUCAAGCUACAAAGGGCUCACGGAGGAUACCUAGGCACACAGAGGCGAUGAA
rnacentral:misc_RNA from 1 species